AGCUUCCCAGAUAGCGCACGCGGGGACGGCGGCACACCCCUCCCACCCUGCGGCGCGUGCUCGUGGAUGUGGGUGGCGGCGAGCUAAUUAAUCGCAAUGCCCCAUAUGGGGGUUCGGAUCUCCUCACAAGUAGUAUUAUGUAUACCCGACUACCACGGAUAGAAGAAGCAGGCAGCAUUAUGCAGGCGAGGCAACAGCCGAGAAGAAGAGCCAUGGCGGUGGUGCACACGGAGUCCUUCUAGAGUGGAUGGGAAGACUCCAGCUGUGCUUGCGUUCCUAAUUCUCGGCAAGGGAUAGCCUGAAGACAGGGACUACCUUUUACUUUUUCACACAGUCAACAAAAACUUCUUGAUUGAAUUUGAUUCAUCUGUCAUUUGUGAAAUUAAAGACUUAGAAGAGAGAGGACCUGGCCAAAAAUUUCGGUUCCGCUCCAGUUGUUCAAAAGCCUCUUCCUUCCGGCUUCCAGUGUGCUGAGGCACAGAUACAUUGUAUUUAAAAGACAGCAAGAGAUAAAGAAGAGAAAGAUCCACUAGGAAGAUGUGAGCAGCAUAAUCAUGAACCACAGGCCUCAUGAGCAACGUGCAGAAGGAAGAGAGGGCAGCUCCAUUUACCCAGGGCACACCAGCUUCAACGGGAUACCAGCCUAGCAGAGAGUACUACUGGGUGAAAGGCUAUCAAAGAGUUCUCCCAACUAACAGCUACUUUCCCUAAAGUAAAAGUUGGUGCAACUGGUGAUGUGAUCCGACAUGAAGAAGAGUAGGUAUUGAAACCCUCCGCUAAAAUACAAUGUCUUCAACUAAGGUAAGUUUGUUACAUUGGGUAUGGCAGUUCAUGACUAUAAUCUCAGAACUCGUGAACUUAAGGCAAGAGGAGUUGUUUGAGUUUGAGGCUAGCCUGGGCUAUAGAGUAAUACCAUAUCUCAAUAAAACACACAAAAAAUAGCCUCUGCCAAAUGUUUAUAUUUUAAUUAUCUUCAGAUUCUGAACAAUCUCCCCACUCCCCAACCCCUUGCAUUCAGUUUUUCAAAAUUAGUUCUAUUGUAAGAGCUAGGCUAGCUAAAAACACAAGCUGGCAGCAAAUAUUUUGUAGCAGAAUGUAACUUUGUGAGUAUACAUUUAUAUCUUUGGUUUUCACUGACCAAAAAGCAUUUUCAAAUAGUGAAUGAUUUGAUAAGUCCUACUUUGGGACAACUGAGAUUCUGAUGGGAGCCAGGGGUCCUUCAGUUCCACAGCGCUCUCUUUGUCUGCUGUUAGGAAACCCCAAAUUAAGUUAUCAAUGUGACAUACCUAAUCACAUGUUUAAUUCAUCUAGAGGUGUAGGUACCUUUUCAUCUUUUUGUGUUUGCUCACACACGUUUAAAUUGGAAAAAUGUAAAAUUAUUAUUUAACUCCACCUGUUUCCCCCAGGGCAUAGAAUGUACAGCCCCUCCAGUGAGGAAGGCUCUUUGGAAGGGAGAUGUGAAGAAGUCCCUGUCUGACCUUGUGUGGACUCAUGCUCAGUGCUAGCUGGGAAGCCAGUGGUAGUGCCCUCAACACCAGCCAGGCCCAGAUGGCACUGUGGCCUUCUGAGGUCUCUGCCUCGCUCUUGAAGUGUCCAACUAGAGAAAAUUCUGUAGCCCCAAAGUACCAGACAUGUGUAAGAAGCCUGGAGAUUGGAUAAAUGGACAUGUCUUAUGAGCUACAGGCCUUAGCUGUACCUACAGCCACAUCCCAGGGCCUCUGCAUGCCACUCAUUACUGGGCAAGUGGCCUCUCUCCCUUUCUUGAACAUUCCUGUCUGUCCCUUAUAUUAGUCUCUACUAUAUUCUCAGAUUACAAUUCCUUUUGUGCUAACUACACCCCCAAAUUAAAAGAAUGUCACUGACUUCACAAAGAAUACAAAGCAGACUGGUUUUAUAUAUCUGGGGGUGGGUAUUAAAAAUGUGUGUUGCCUUUAGAGGACAUUUACAUAAAACGAUAAAGUAAUUUAAAAUUGGGUGAGGAUAACAGAUUGGUUUUAAAUAUCGCCCCUAUUAGCCAAACAAAUAAAGGACCCCAAGAAAUUCCCUAAGGGUUAAUAAGCAAAACACUAACCACAUGUAAUAGUUUCUUUUUCCUAAGGAACAGUACGAUACCAGCUAAUGCUGAAAGCACGCUACAGCUGUGACUUGUAGCUUGGACACUAGCUUGAGUGACAGGUGUACCAUCACUUGCACAGACCAGCUGAAAUUACAAGGUCUAACUCAGAUUUUCCCCACAAUUAACUGAUGCCAACAUUACAUCCAUCCAGGAAAGAGCCUCCAGCUACAGGCACAGCAGAGCAUGUGUUCUCAGUCUUCAACAUUUUAACAACAGCAUCAGCCUUGGGCCAGAAGGGAACUGCAGCUCCCUAAUCACAGAACCAGAAAGCCGGGAUGACUCUUCCUGAGGGAAGGCAGAAGAAAGCAGCUAGCUUCUCUAAUGCUCAUCUGACGGAGUUUCUGUGACUGGAGCAAGCUCAGGGUUCGAGGAAGCUUGUCACCAAAAUUGGUGUCAUUAAAGAAGGUGGCAUGUCUAAGAGCAUGCCCGGCCCCUAGCUAGAGCUUUUAAUCCAAGCACCUCGGAAGCUUCUGGAGUACAGCCAUUUAAAGUGACUUGUCACACCGAAAGGACGGCUUUCUUAAAUAAUCUCUAUAGUUUAAUUUCUGUCAAUGAAGUAGGUUAGAGAUAACAAAAAUGUAGAUAGAAAGAUGAUCCCUGAGCAAUCUUAAUACUAUAAUUUACAACUAUGCCUUACAGUUUCAUCUGCUUCCAUUGUUCUUACUCCCCUAACUUUGUAAAACUUUCAUGCCCUCGGGGGCUGGUGAGAUGGCUCAGCGGUUAAGAGCACUGACUGCUCUUCCAAAGGUCCCGAGUUCGAAUCCCAGCAACCACAUGGUGGCUCACAACCAUCCAUAAUGAGAUCUGACGCCCUCUUCUAGUGUGUCUGAAGACAACUACAGUGUACUUACAUAUAAUAAAUAAAUCUUUAAAAAAAAAAAAAACUUUCAUGCCCUCUAGAUUGAUUGGUACAGAUGGCAAAGAGAAAGUGAAGCUUUGGGGGGUGGGUGUGGGGAGGACUUUUAACAAAUAUUUCAUUUUUAAAGUGGAUACAGAAGAGGCUAUGACAAGAAAACACAGAGGCUCGAUUCUUCAAAAAUGAGAAAAAUGAAAAUGUAUACCUGGGUGGAGGGUAGAGAGAAAAGGAGGGAGGAAGGGAAGGGAAAAGAGAGAAGGAAAGAAAGCCAGCUAGCUACAAGCAGCCUAGAAGCCCUGGAGAGAAACAAAAUCACCACAAAAACAAUUUAUCUCAGUGGAGCCUUGCUUGUCCCUUGUCCCACCACCUGCCUGUUUUGUGACAGCCUCAGCACCAAUUGCUCCAUUUCAGUAACAAGACUUUGAUUUCAGAGACUCAUUAGAAUCCUGAGUCCCUGCUUAACAGGACAACUGAAAAAUCUACGUUUUUAACUCUUAACCUUUUCGUUUUUCUAUUCAAAACUUGGUAAACUGCUAAACUUACAUGUUCAGGGGGCUGUGAGUGUUAAAUAAAAUAUUCAAGUCACA